rnacentral:lncRNA from 1 species
CAAAGAGUUCAAAAUAUUGGUAGUAAGAAUUUUCAAAAACUUGUGAUAGCUAUAAUGAAGAGUUUUAUGACAAAUUCACUCAUCGCCAAAUUUAAUAUAGCAGCUGGAAAAGACAAAAGGAUCUUUUUAGUCUAACCAAGCCAUACAAUUCAAUAAAAGUUUGUGCAUCGACUGCUCACGAAUCAUACACAGAGUCGAUUGUUGAUGCAAUAAAUACUGAUUCGUUUAAGCGGGCAACUUUUGCUCGUGUUAAAGUGCCUUAAAUCCAACAGAUAUCAUCGUUACGAUAUUACUUUGUUUGUAAAUUGUUUUAAA